AUGAAGCCCGUGAUAAUUGAUUGUCGGAGACCCGAGAAAGAGCCGACUCGAGCUCGCCCUCCUCAGAUCUUCAAACCCUAAUUCAUGAAUCAUCUCGGGAACCUUUGCUCUUCCUCUUCUUUCACGAUUUGAUCCUCGAACAAUCAAUACAUCCUCUACUUCGUCUCCCUUUACUCUCAUUAAUGGAUUCGCUUUGCUUUUCUCAUUCAGAUUUUGUUUUAUUUUGAUCAAACUUGGUCCUAUAGUCUCAUUUCUAGCAAUCGCGGUCCCAGCUUUCCCUUGCGUGCGGUUACCUCUCAUUCACCAGUCUCAGGUCUAUUUUCUUUCUUCAGGAUGUGAACGUUUGUGUAAGUACGGUUUAGCGUUCGCAUUUCAUGAAAAUUGGAAAACUAAGGAUCUGAACCAAAAGUUUUGUUGGAAGCUGUUUAUUUCUCAACGCCACUUUUGCAACACACAUCUACUUAGACUGACACAGCUGUUUUAAAAGAACACUAUACAAGAAAUGGCUCAAACCAAACUGCCUCUUCAUCAAAGUUGCUUCAUGCCCAGAAUAUAGAAUCUCUCACUGUUUCAGAGCUUAACCAAUAUGUCCUCGCAGCUGAACCUCAGCUGAGAGUAACUUUAUCUUAAGUUAGUUAUCUGAUUGUCAUUUCUAAUUGUUCAAGUCUCCUUAGUGAGGACAUAUAAUUGAGCUGCUUUGUACUGCCAAAGUGACUGGUAUCAAGACAGAUAAGGAUGGUGCUAUAUUGAUUGCUUGAAAUGUUCAAAGAAGCUGCAGAGAAUCUCAUCUUCCACAUGCAUCAUGUAUAAUAACACCAGCGCUGUGUGUGUCCUCAGUUAUAGUGUGGACCUCUCUGUCUCAGUCUAGACAGAUGAUGAUAUCUUUGAUAUGGAGAUGGCUAAGUUAACCAACAUUCACGCAGCUGAAGCUGCACAAAUUUUAAGUGCAGGUCUCAGUGCUAAGUAGAUAAUGAGCUCCCCCAGUUUAUUGUUGAUAUAGUUGGUAAGAGCUACACUUUCCAGCUCAAGUUAGGAGAGUUCUGUUUCACUGCCAAACACCAAACCUUCACCAUCUCCGGUAUCAUUACUGAGUGUCAGCGUGGAUUACUCCCAGACUUUGUUACAGAUGUUGGUAUCGCAAAACUGAAAAACAAGAAUGACUCGACACAAAAACUCUAGGCCUGAAUUAAGGACAGCCAACAUGUUUUGGGUGAAUCAAAUCUGAUGCAGCUCUUCCUCCGAUUGCAACUCAGAGCCAUGGGACAAGUCUUAUCGAAGGCUAUGAUGCAGUUAUAUUACUGCAAGUUGGUUACUUGACAGCUGAAACAAUUCUUCAAACUGCCGAUGAACAAGUCAUAUCAUAUCCACGGAAAAAGUGCCUAUUUCAAUAUGAACUUUACGCGUCGUGCCUAUUCCUUCACGAACUUUGUAGUAGUGCGUAUUCCACACUGAAUUAAACAAAUUUUUUUAAAAUACUAUAUGAACUUUAUGCGUC